UAGGGAAUCUUCCACAAUGGACGAAAGUCUGAUGGAGCAACGCCGCGUGAACGAUGAAGGCCUUCGGGUCGUAAAGUUCUGUUGUAAGGGAAGAACAAGUGCCGCAGGCAAUGGCGGCACCUUGACGGUACCUUGCGAGAAAGCCACGGCUAACUACGUGCCAGCAGCCGCGGUAAUACGUAGGUGGCAAGCGUUGUCCGGAAUUAUUGGGCGUAAAGCGCGCGCAGGCGGCCUCUUAAGUCUGAUGUGAAAGCCCCCGGCUCAACCGGGGAGGGCCAUUGGAAACUGGGAGGCUUGAGUAUAGGAGAGAAGAGUGGAAUUCCACGUGUAGCGGUGAAAUGCGUAGAGAUGUGGAGGAACACCAGUGGCGAAGGCGACUCUUUGGCCUAUAACUGACGCUGAGGCGCGAAAGCGUGGGGAGCAAACAGGAUUAGAUACCCUGGUAGUCCACGCCGUAAACGAUGAGUGCUAGGUGUUGGAGGGUUUCCGCCCUUCAGUGCUGAAGCUAACGC
rnacentral:rRNA from 1 species